GGCAGUGGCGGCUUAGUGGUUAAGACUCUGGGUUAUUGAUCAGGAGCUCAGGGGUUCAAGCCUCAGCACUGCCA